rnacentral:rRNA from 1 species
CUUUCUCCGCCGGCGACCGGCGCACGGGUGAGUAACACGUAUGCAACCUGCCCCUGUCAGGGGGACAACCCGCCGAAAGGCGGGCUAAACCCGCGUACAUGCCACCGGGGCAUCCGGAGGCAGGAAAGGCUUCGGCCGGACAGGGAUGGGCAUGCGGCGCAUUAGGCAGUAGGCGGGGUAACGGCCCACCUAACCGACGAUGCGUAGGGGUUCUGAGAGGAAGGUCCCCCACACUGGUACUGAGACACGGACCAGACUCCUACGGGAGGCAGCAG